ACACGUCUACAUUAGAUACCCGGGUAGUCCCAGCCGUAAACUAUGCGCGUUAGGUGUAUCGGUGACCACGAGUCACCGAGGUGCCGAAGGGAAACCGUGAAACGUGCCGCCUGGGAAGUACGGUCGCAAGGCUGAAACUUAAAGGAAUUGCGGGGGAGCACCACAACGGGUGGAGCCUGCGGUUUAAUUGGACUCAACGCCGGGAAGCUCACCGGAUAAGACAGCGGAAUGAUUGCCGGGCUGAAGACUCUGCAUGACUAGCUG
rnacentral:rRNA from 1 species